UGGACGCGUUGACGUGUGCAUAGCAGCGUUGUUAUCCUAGCCCGUAAACCUCCCACACCACACCUCCAAAGCUCGAAACUGCUCCACCGGCCAAAUGGUCCCGCUUGGGCGCCUUCCGGCGCUGCCGCUAGCGCGUGGCUCCACGCGCCGCCGCCUCCUCGCCGCCGGGGCCUUCGCCGCCUCACCGCUCCCAUGGCCGGGCCUUCACACCUGGCGCCGGGCCCCUCCCAGCGACCUCCGCUCGUGGGGCCCCAACGGGCCCUGCGCCCCGAACACUGACAAAGCGGGACCUCCAGAAGCCGCCGCCGGAGUUGGCCACGGCUCGUCCUUGGCCGAGAUGGGCGCCCUCGUGCUGUCCACCGCCGACCCCCUCGCCAAGGCGCACCUCACCCACGCCGCCUUCUCCCGGUGGGCGGCAGGCGGGCUCCCCGUGGGCCUCGCCCGGGCCCCGGACCACCCCGCCAGGCCGGAAAAGCCCCUCGCGGUGACUCAGAAGGAGGUCCCCACGCACAAGGCGAUGGGGGUGCCGCUAAACGCGUACAUGCUCCACAACCUGGCGCACGUCGAGCUCAAUGCCAUCGACCUUGCUUGGGAUACUGUGGUGCGGUUCUCGCCGCUCCGGGACACCCUGGGAGAUGGCUUCUUUGCGGACUUUGCGCGUGUGGCUGACGAUGAGAGCCGGCAUUUUCGGUGGUAUUCACAGCGGCUUGCCGAGCUUGGGUUCAGAUAUGGUGAUAUGCCUGUCCACAAUCUUUUGUGGAGGGAGUGUGCAAAAUCCGCAAGUGAUGUUUCUGCACGGAUGGCAGUUAUACCUCUAGUACAGGAAGCUAGAGGCCUUGAUGCUGGACCAAGACUAGUCCAAAAGUUAAUUGGCUUUGCGGACCAUAGAUCUGCAGACAUUGUGGCAAAAGUAGCAGAGGAAGAGCUUGCACAUGUUUCUGUAGGUUUAUAUUGGUUCCUGAAAGUAUGCGAAAUGAUGGGCCGUGUCCCUGGUGCUGCUUUUAGAGAUCUGAUAAAGGAGCAUGAUGUUGUAAUGAGGGGUCCAUUUAACUAUCAGUCUCGUGAUGAAGCUGGUAUACCUCGAGAAUGGUAUGACGAGGCGCUUAAACCUGAAGUUGCAAGCAAUCUUUCAGAGGUGAGGGACCAUUUAUUGUUUAUCCGGUGUGUUUUGAUGUAUCUAACUUGUGGUAUGUACCUCACAGGUGCAUGAUAGGCUAGCAUGUGUUGUUGAGAUGGAGAAAGAGAAUGCUAGUUUGAAUGGCUAAAAUCUCACCUGAUGAAUACUUGAGAGACUUGGCUAGCUGGAGUGGUGUUUGCCAAGUUGCCGCCCCAAGGCAACAGAUGCGGAAAGGCCUCAAAUUUGCACGGUCCGUGACCUGUACAGUAGUCAUCAAGACUCUUACCAGCUGGAGACAUAAUUUGCUGCUGGGAGGCGAGGUGUUGUUGGCCUGAACUGCAAUAGUUGAAGAACAAUGGACAACAUGGUGACCAGUUCAUGUCAGUUACAGUUCAGUGUGAAAGCCAAACGUUUCACAUUCUGUGAUGUAUCAGCGGAUAUGUGUUACAGUUGACCACGAUGCUAUUUAAAUCAAUAUAUACAGUUCUGAAAUUC